AGAUUGACGGAUUGGAGGAUCUAGAGAUAACUCGACGGACUACGAAGGUCCCAUAGGUUAUCCUUCAUAGGAGUACAGCUUGAAAAAAAACUCGAUGAGCUGGUCUGGAUAGAAAUUGACGGACUGAAAGAUCCGAAGAUAACUCGAUGGACUAUAGAGGUCCCAUAGGUUGUCCUUCGCAGGAGUACAGCUCGGACAAAAACUUGACAAGCUGGUCCAGAUAGAGAUCAAUGGGCUAGAGGACUUAGAGAUAACUCGACGAGC
rnacentral:lncRNA from 1 species